rnacentral:lncRNA from 1 species
GGGCAAGAUCACCUGUUGCCUGAAGCAGAAGAAAUCACUAUGAUCAGUAUUCAACUUGCUGCUAGGUUCCUCUUUACUACAGGAUUUCACACAAAGAAAGUAGUCCGUGGCUCUGCCAGUGAUUGGUAUGAUGCAUUGUGUAUUCUCCUUCGUCACAGCAAGAAUGUACGUUUUUGGUUUGCUCAUAACGUCCUUUUUAAUGUUUCAAAUCGCUUCUCCGAAUACCUUCUGGAGUGCCCUAGUGCAGAAGUGAGGGGUGCGUUUGCAAAACUUAUAGUCUUUAUUGCACAUUUUUCCUUGCAAGAUGGGCCAUGUCCUUCACCUUUUGCCUCUCCUGGACCUUCUAGUCAGGCUUAUGACAACUUAAGCUUGAGUGAUCACUUACUAAGAGCAGUACUAAAUCUCUUGAGAAGGGAAGUUUCAGAGCAUGGGCGUCAUUUACAGCAGUAUUUCAACCUGUUUGUAAUGUAUGCCAAUUUAGGUGUGGCAGAGAAGACACAGCUUCUG